AUUUUCUAAUUUUUAUUAUUUAAUAUAUUCUAUACUUAUAACGCGCAUACUAUAACCAUUCAUCACCCUAGACUCUUCUACCUACUGCUAAUAUACUCCCAAUUACAUAGCAACUAGUAUAUACACGAAUUCAGUUACCAAAACAUAACGAAAUAAUUCAUCAGCAAUUUCAGUAGUGAACAUAAAUAAGAACACAAAAAUCAGUAGAAAAAUCUCGUCGGAAUCAUGUGCCUAAU
rnacentral:lncRNA from 1 species